rnacentral:misc_RNA from 1 species
CUGUAGCGGCGGCAAUAUAAUGGCUGUUAACAAUUGUCAAUUAAAUCUGAAUUCGGCAACGAUUCAGCAGGACUUGAAUACAGCCGCCAUUUAUAAUCUAACAGGACAUCGUGCUGCUGCUGCUGCUUGCGGUAGCAAUAGUGGAAUUAUCGAAACAAAUUGUCGUCUAUUAUCGGACAUCUCCAAGUCCAGUCAAGUCGGUCCAAAUAACAGUCAGCAACAGCAACAACAGCAACUGACAACUGUUGCUGGUGUCGGCAACAAUAGUAAUAAUGGUUGCAGUAACAACAGUAGCAUUAUCAAUGGCAGCAGCCAAAGCAUCAUUACUCUGGCCAAUUCUCAUGGUCUAACACUCGGCUCAUCGAAUAAUCCCUCUGCCUAUAUGCAUGACAAAAGUCUGUUGGGGGCGGUUGGGGUUAGUGUCGGCGUCGGUAUCAACGUCAGUUGUAUCGAUAAUAGAAAAUACGAUUACAAGAACAAUAAUCUGUUAUCGAACAGUAAUUUUCAACAAGCAUCCCAAGAGUAUGUUUCGACUGGCAACAACAGUUCUGGAAACAGUCGUUCAAAUCAACAAAGUGGAAUUUAUCGUGGACCACAGGCAGCAUCAAAUCCGCCCCGUGGCAACGGCACUGGCGGUGGAGCCCGUGCCCCCCAUGUUCAUAUGCCACCGAUGUACCCGAAUAUGGUAUUGCAGAAUUACCCACAAUAUGGCCAGCGACAACCAGCGUAUCCGGCGCCACAUUUACAAUAUACGCACACGCCCAUACCCUAUUAUACCUAUCCAUAUCUCUCCCCAUUGCCACAGCAACAGCCGCCGCCGCAUUCACGCAGUGGUGUUGCGGUUAACACAAACUUAGGCAAUACAAUGCAAUCUGUGCAGCCCGGUGGACCCAAUGGACCGCUGGCUGGUCCUGGUGGUGCGACACCAUCUCAAUUACAAUUGCUAACAGGUGCUGUACAGCCAGGCGCUAAUACAGUUAUUGGUGUUGGUGGAACAGCGAGUGGUCAAGUGGGUGUGGGUGUCAACGUUAGUGUUCCGCCAAUGGUUGGUGUUAUGUCAUCUAAUGUGACGCCACAACCUGUGCCAGUGCCGCAGCCUAGUAGGCGGCGACACCAGCAUCGUUUACAGAUUAUCGAUCCGACAACAAAAAAGAACAUACUCGAUGAACUGGAUAAGAGUAAUGUGAGUACGGAGAGUGACUAUCAAGAAGCAGGAGCUGCUGCUGCUACUGCGAUUGCACCUGCUGCUCCGUCGUUAACGACAUCAGCUGUCGUCGCGCAUCCAGAUGCCUCAAUGUGCAUCACCCAGCCAGAUGCUGGCGGCAUCUGUUUACCCCCCAGCAGCGUGUUAAUUCAAGGCCCAGAUGCGAGGCCCAAUAUCCAGUAUAAAUUAGAUCAAAUUCCCGCUCAACGCCAGGAUAUAAUUGUUGGACAGACUCCAGUGGUCUCAGCCAUGUCUGAUGCACCAUCUGUAGAAAUAUUGCCGAGUUCCCAGAAAAAUAAAAGUAAAAAAAUUCCAAUAGUCUCCCCGAAAGAUGCACCCGAGUCUUCGUCGUCGUCUGCCUUCUCUUCGUUCAAAGUGGAUGAUGUUUCUAAAACAAGCGUCGAAAGUGCGAACGAGCCCAAUCAACAUUUACAGUCAGACUUUGUUGCACAAGAAGAAGAAGAAGAAGAACAACAACAUCGACAAAAGUCACAGCAACAGCCGCAGCAGCAGCAACAGGAAUCACAUUCACCGUUUAUGGCGGCAAACACAGCGGAACAGCAAAUUGUCGACAUAGUCGAAGUAGGUGACAGCUCAGAAGCGGUUCAGCAGCAACAGCAACAGCAACAGCAACAGAACAACAACGAACAAGGACUUACAGUAAUUGCAGUCGAAGUGGACUCAACGGCAGAGAAUGUCGAGCUGAGCUCGACUGGUACCGCAACAAGUGAAGUUUCUGUAUUGCCUGACAACGUAUCUAGCAUGUAUAUAACUGAGCCAAGUCUCUCAACUAAUUUAAGCGAAACUGUAGCUGAUGGCCAGGUGGAAGGGGAGGAGGCACAACGUAUUGUUGUCCCAGUAGUAACUAGCUCACAUGAAAGCACACCCGAUGAGACUGAUCGAGCCCAACAAAUGCCAGACUUGGAAGCGACACCGAUUGGGGAAAAUGUGAAAGAAGAAAAUGAGAGAAAUGAAACAUUAACGAAAACGAUAUCAACGAAUAGCUUGGCAACAGCAGAGGAUGCCAAGGAAGUCAAGGAUGCGGAUAUAGGAAAAGUAGUGGAGCCAAAAAAAACGGAGACAUCAGCCGCUGAUGAACAACAAGAAGCUAUCGCCGAUGGUGUUGCAAUGGAAACCUCGGAAAUCGCGGCAUCGUUGAUCAACUACAAUGAAGGUCAAUGGUCACCGAGUAAUCCAAGUGGUAAGAAGCAAUACGAUCGCGAGCAACUAUUGCAGUUGCGAGAGGCGAAGGCUUCACGUAUUCAACCCGAAGUGAAAAAUGUCUCAAUAUUGCCGCACCCAAACCUAAUGCCUAUGUUUAUGCGUAAUAGCAAUAAUAAUAACAACAAUAAUAACAAUAAGCGGGUGCAAUCGAUGGUUGGCAUUGGUGGCAGUCGAAAUAGUGAAUCGAUUGGUAAUAAUUUUGGUGGCAAGCAAGCUUCAAUGUCCGGUGUUCAAGGCGGCGGCGGCGGUCGCAGCAGCAUGAAAGGUAUGAUCCAUGUCAACCUAUCACUUAACCAAGAUGUUAAACUGAAUGAGACGGAAAAUGCCUGGCGACCACGUUUACAAAAUAAUAAGCACCAACAGGACUCGACGAGCGGCAGUAACUCCGAUGGUAACAAAUCAAUCCAUGAAAAAGACGAGCUUGUCCGUAAAGUGCGUGGAAUUUUAAACAAGCUAACGCCAGAAAGAUUUGACACGUUGGUUGAGGAGAUAAUUAAACUCAAGAUCGAUACCCCCGAGAAAAUGGAUGAGGUAAUUGUGCUUGUCUUUGAGAAGGCUAUCGAUGAACCAAAUUUUUCCGUAUCAUAUGCAAGACUGUGCCAUCGCCUGAUAAGCGAAGUUAAGGCACGCGAUGAGCGCAUGGAAAGUGGCACAAAAUCGAACUUACAACAUUUCCGUAACGCACUACUCGAUAAGACGGAAAAAGAAUUCACACAAAAUGUCUCGCAAGGCGCGGCAAAAGAGAGGAAACUACAGCCGAUUAUUGAGAAGAUAAAAAAAUGUAAUGAUCCCAAUGAAAAGGCUGAGCUGGAAGCACUGCUCGAAGAGGAGGAGCGCAAAAUACGUCGUCGUUCCGGCGGGACUGUGCGUUUCAUUGGUGAACUUUUUAAAAUCUCAAUGUUAACUGGAAAGAUUAUAUACUCUUGUAUCGAUACGCUGCUGAAUCCGCAAUCGGAAGAUAUGCUAGAAUGUCUGUGCAAGCUACUAACAACAGUUGGAGCUAAAUUUGAGCAGACGCCAGUUAGUGCGAAGGAGCCCGGUCGUUGCUAUUCUCUGGAGAAGUUAAUAGGUAGAAUGCAAGCAAUUGCAUCUAAAACUGAUAAGGAUGCCGCCAAAGUUAGUUCCCGAGUGCGAUUUAUGCUUCAGGACGUUAUCGAUUUGCGCAAAAACAAGUGGCAAUCGACCCGGAAUGAGGCUCCUAAGACAAUGGGGCAAAUUGAAAAGGAGGCUAAAAAUGAACAGUUAUCUGCACAAUAUAUGAACUAUAGCAGCUCAAUAUCGACGACAACGUCAACAUCCAGUCCCAACGGAGGUGGAAGUGGCGGUGCCGGCAAACGUGAUGCACGGUUCGGCGACGCGCGUUCAUCUGGCGGUUAUGGUGGCAGUCAUAGUCAACGCGGCGGCGAUGGUGUUAGUAGUAUGCGACAUCAGCAAUCAAACAGCGGCACUGGCAGCGGCAGCGGGGCUGGUGGCAGUGGCAAUGGCAAUCAUUCAAAUGGAAACAAUGACGACAAUACGUGGCAUGUUCAGACUAGCAAGGGCAGCCGCUCCCAAGCUGUGGAUAGCAUCAAGCUAGAGGGUUUGCACCCAUUGCAAAUUUGAGUUUAUUAUAUCAUGUCCUAGGAUUAUGGUCUUCUCAGCUGUAAGUAACGGAUGGAAGGCUGCGUAGUUCAGCCCAAUAAGUACAUAUAUUAUUGAUCAAGACGGAGGUUCCUAUAUAGCUGUAUUUCAGUUUACCGUAUAAAUUUAUACAUGUUCCAGUGCAUGGCUCAUUCUACUUUUCAAUCGAACAUAAUUCAUAAUUGUACUUGUAUUGUACUUGAGUGCCAUAGAAAGAUUUAGUAUGGAGUUUUUCAUUUUAUAAGAAUUCAUUCCAUGUUUUAUGCGGGCCGAAGCAGAAAAUCCUCAUAGAAAAAGAAAGACCAAUUUCCCAUAGGAGAACGUAUAACAAAAUUCAGUCGUGUAGAAAGGGAACGGAUAAAUAUGUGGGAGCGCGUGGGCUUCCUUUUAUGCUCUGUAUUAUAACUGUCUAUGGUCGCAGGGUAUCUGCUUAAAAAAAAAUUGAAUUCGCUAUAUUUGCAGACUUUACAGCUGAAUCAAAAUUUGGAUAACAAAAAGAUGGGCGGCGUUAAUCAGUUCAUUAACUGGAAUAACAAUGCCAUUAAACAAUCGUCGACAACGCCAACGACAACACCAUCAAAUUCAUUUGCUCCGCUCUCGUCAUUAAUUGACAAUAAAAGUAGCACGGAUCGAGACCGUAGUGGUGGCCCCAGAAAUAAAGGUUCAUAUCACAAAGGCUCCAUUGAGCG